AAGCCAGAGACCCUUUGUUCCAUGGCUGAGUAGAGGCCCGUGUCUGUCCCGUCUAGGAGAAGGUUAGCAGUGUCAUGCAGUGGCCUUGGGCUGCCGGAUGCUGCCGGGACAGAUUGCAGUGUGUUACCAAAUACGUGGGGAACCAAUGCGCUCGUCGUCAGUCACUUCUUUCUUCCUCUCCUGAGCCUCUUCUCGUGGCCUCAACAGCCUCAGCCCCGUCAAGAGACCUUCACGAGAUCUAGAACACACAGGCUUACUCGCAUCCUCGGCCAUUCAUGCACGGAGCACCCCCCCAUCCCCCCGCUGUAGGCCCGCCAGUGACUACUUCAUCAUGAGAGGAGGCCCGGGAGCAACGGCGCAGGGUCGAGGCGCUGACAGGUGGCCAGAUUGAUGACGUUGAUGAUUGUGAUGAUAAUGGCUGAUGAGAUACGAUUCCAGCAGCCUGAUGGAGGUGAUGAUGAUGAUGACUUGAAGG